UACGAAGGGGGCGAGCGUUGUUCGGAUUUACUGGGCGUAAAGGGCGCGUAGGCGGCAGAUCAAGUCAGCUGUGAAAUCUCCGAGCUUAACUCGGAACUGUCAGCUGAUACUGUUUUGCUAGAGUGCGGAAGGGGCAAUCGGAAUUCUUGGUGUAGCGGUGAAAUGCGUAGAUAUCAAGAGGAACACCUGAGGUGAAGACGGGUUGCUGGGCCGACACUGACGCUGAGUGCGCGAAAGCCAGGGGAGCAAACGGG
rnacentral:rRNA from 1 species